UUAUUUGACUCGGGGUGCCCCUUUUCACGAAGGGCUGAGAAAUACCCGUAUUACCUGAUCUGGAUAAUGCCAGCGUAGGGAAGUCAGAUGCCUGCCCG
rfam:Kluyvera intermedia strain CAV1151, complete genome.